UUCCGGUUGAUCCUGCCGGACCCGACUGCUAUUUGGGUGAGGAUAAGCCAUGCGAGUUGAAUGGGAAACCUGAAGUUCCCAUGGCAAACUGCUCAGUAACACAUGAUCAACUUACCCUAUAGAGAAAAAUAACCUCGGGAAACUGAGGAUAAUGUUUCAUAGUUGAAUUGGCUUGGAAAAGUUUUUCGACGAAAGGGGUAAAGAAAAUGGUUUUUAUCUGCUAUAGGAUAGGAUCGUGUUCGAUUAUGGUUGUUGGUGAGGUAAUGGCUCACCAAGCCGAUAAUCGAUAGGGGCCGUGAGAGCGGGAGCCCCGAGAUGGGUACUGAGACAACGACCCAGGCCUUACGAGGCGCAGCAGGCGCGAAACCUCCGCAAUACACGAAAGUGUGACGGGGUUACCCAAAGUGCUCAAUUUUGAACUGUGGUAGGUGAGUAAUGUUCCCCACUAGAAAGGAGAGGGCAAGGCUGGUGCCAGCCGCCGCGGUAAAACCAGCUCUUCAAGUGGUCGGGAUAAUUAUUGGGCUUAAAGUGUCCGUAGCCGGUUUGGUAAGUUCCUGGUAAAAUCGGGUAGCUUAACUAUCUAUAUGCUAGGAAUACUACUAUACUAGAGGGCGGGAGAGGUCUGAGGUACUACAGGGGUAGGGGUGAAAUCUUAUAAUCCUUGUUGGACCACCAGUGGCGAAGGCGUCAGACUGGAACGCGCCUGACGGUGAGGGACGAAAGCCAGGGGAGCGAACCGGAUUAGAUACCCGGGUAGUCCUGGCCGUAAACGAUGCACACUAGGUGAUGGCACGGCCAUGAGCCGUGUCAGUGCCGUAGGGAAACCGUUAAGUGCGCCGCCUGGGAAGUACGGUCGCAAGGCUAAAACUUAAAGGAAUUGGCGGGGGAGCACCACACGGGUGAAGCCUGCGGUUCAAUUGGAAUCAACGCCGGU
rnacentral:rRNA from 1 species